rnacentral:rRNA from 1 species
UACGGAGGGUGCAAGCGUUAAUCGGAAUUACUGGGCGUAAAGCGCACGUAGGCGGUUCGUUAAGUCGGAUGUGAAAUCCCCGGGCUCAACCUGGGACCUGCAUUCGAUACUGGCGAACUUGAGUAUGAUAGAGGGGGGUGGAAUUCCAGGUGUAGCGGUGAAAUUCGUAGAUAUUCGGAGGAACACCAGUGGCGAAGGCGGCUCACUGGCUCGACACUGACGCUGAGGUGCGAAAGCGUGGGGAGCAAACAGGAUUAGAAACCCUUGUAGU